rnacentral:rRNA from 1 species
AUUGAACGCUGGCGGCAUGCCUUACACAUGCAAGUCGAACGGCAGCACGGGAGCAAUCCUGGUGGCGAGUGGCGAACGGGUGAGUAAUAUAUCGGAACGUGCCCGGUCGUGGGGGAUAACGCAGCGAAAGCUACGCUAAUACCGCAUACGAUCUACGGAUGAAAGCGGGGGAUCGCAAGACCUCGCGCGAUUGGAGCGGCCGAUAUCAGAUUAGGUAGUUGGUGAGGUAAAGGCUCACCAAGCCGACGAUCUGUAGCUGGUCUGAGAGGACGACCAGCCACACUGGGACUGAGACACGGCCCAGACUCCUACGGGAGGCAGCAGUGAGGAAUAUUGGACAAUGGGCGCAAGCCUGAUCCAGCCAUGCCGCGUGCAGGAAGAAGGUCCUAUGGAUUGUAAACUGCUUUUAUACAGGAAGAAACACUCCCUCGUGAGGGAACUUGACGGUACUGUAUGAAUAAGGACCGGCUAACUCCGUG